AAUGGUAUUAUUUUCUGACUUUCCCCAAGCGCAGAUCUCUCAGUAGUAGUGUUUACUUCACUGACACACGCACAACCAAGGCCUAACUGUGUCGCACAAGAUGGAGAGGGGAAAUCUGCUGCAACACAUGCGUCACCCUUCCAAACCAACCAUAUCAGGUAUCUCAAAACUACUUGCGUGUGUCAUUCCUAUCGCUCAGAUCACCAUAGGUG